UACGUAGGUGGCAAGCGUUGUCCGGAUUUACUGGGCGUAAAGAGCGCGCAGGCGGUCGGAUAAGUCGAAUGUGAAAGCCCCCGGCUCAACUGGGGAGGGUCAUUCGAUACUGUUCGACUCGAAGGCAGGAGAGGGAAGUGGAAUUCCCGGUGUAGUGGUGAAAUGCGUAGAUAUCGGGAGGAACACCAGUGGCGAAGGCGACUUCCUGGCCUGUUCUUGACGCUGAGGCGCGAAAAGCUAGGGGAGCAAACGGG
rnacentral:rRNA from 1 species